rnacentral:rRNA from 1 species
UACAGAGGUCCCGAGCGUUGUUCGGAUUCACUGGGCGUAAAGGGUGCGUAAGUGGCAUGGUGAGUUUGAUGCGAAAGCUCAGGGCUUAACCCUGAAAUGGCAUUGAAUACUACUGUGCUGGAGGUUUGGAGGGGGGACUGGAAUUCUUGGUGUAGCAGUGAAAUGCGUAGAUAUCAAGAGGAACACCAGUGGCGAAGGCGAGUCCCUGGACAACACCUGACACUGAGGCACGAAAGCUAGGGGAGCAAACAGG